GAGAACGACGGCAGGAUGAAGGUUUUUAGAGAGAUGAUUUUUUUUGUUUUAGAGAGAGAAACAACAAUCUUCAUCAUGUUCAUCUAUAAUCUUUAUUUUUUUAGACAGAGAGAGAUUUGAAUGUUCAAGUGUGUGUGAGAGAAGAAGGUUUGAAGACCCUUCUUCGUGUUCAUCGGACGCGUAUAGAUCCGGGGCUUUUGAUCUUAACAGUAGCUGUUCUUAUGUUGAAACAGAUCCAUAAAAGAUAUUGAAUUGACAAGCUGGAUGGAUGUAGGCGACGUUAAUGCGGGGACAUUGAAUAAGUCACAUCCUUUGGGAAAGAUGUCUUCGUUCAUUUAUAGCAUGUGUUGGUGGUUCAUGCUGUAACAGAACACCAUGAUGUAACGUGUAAUAUGAAACGAGCCAUUUAUGGUAACACAUGUACCGGUAAUUUUGGAAUAUAUAAUAUUGUAUUC
rnacentral:lncRNA from 1 species